CGAAAUCAUGUUAGAUCCUGGACAAAUAUGAAGUAAAUUGUUUUUAUGCAUCAAUUACUUGAUAUUCAUCCUUGAACUAAAUGGUUUUAGAGC
ensembl:ncRNA mir-982 mir-982 stem loop